CACUAGAUGGCUGAAAGUCAGCUCGGGUCUCUUAAACCCUCCAUAAUAGAUUAACGCCUAUUUCUAAUGA
rnacentral:tRNA from 1 species